rnacentral:rRNA from 1 species
AGAUUAAGUUAUUAAGGGCGCACGGUGGAUGCCUUGGCACUAGAAGCCGAUGAAGGACGUUACUAACGACGAUAUGCUUUGGGGAGCUGUAAGUAAGCUUUGAUCCAGAGAUUUCCGAAUGGGGAAACCCAGCAUGAGUUAUGUCAUGUUAUCGAUAUGUGAAUACAUAGCAUAUCAGAAGGCACACCCGGAGAACUGAAACAUCUUAGUACCCGGAGGAAGAGAAAGAAAAUUCGAUUCCCUUAGUAGCGGCGAGCGAAACGGGAAGAGCCCAAACCAACAAGCUUGCUUGUUGGGGUUGUAGGACACUCUAUACGGAGUUACAAAGGACGACAUUAGACGAAUCAUCUGGAAAGAUGAAUCAAAGAAGGUAAUAAUCCUGUAGUCGAAAAUGUUGUCUCUCUUGAGUGGAUCCUGAGUACGACGGAGCACGUGAAAUUCCGUCGGAAUCUGGGAGGACCAUCUCCUAAGGCUAAAUACUCUCUAGUGACCGAUAGUGAACCAGUACCGUGAGGGAAAGGUGAAAAGCACCCCGGAAGGGGAGUGAAAUAGAACCUGAAACCGUGUGCUUACAAGUAGUCAGAGCCCGUUAAUGGGUGAUGGCGUGCCUUUUGUAGAAUGAACCGGCGAGUUACGAUUUGAUGCAAGGUUAAGCAGUAAAUGUGGAGCCGUAGCGAAAGCGAGUCUGAAUAGGGCGUUUAGUAUUUGGUCGUAGACCCGAAACCAGGUGAUCUACCCUUGGUCAGGUUGAAGUUCAGGUAACACUGAAUGGAGGACCGAACCGACUUACGUUGAAAAGUGAGCGGAUGAACUGAGGGUAGCGGAGAAAUUCCAAUCGAACCUGGAGAUAGCUGGUUCUCUCCGAAAUAGCUUUAGGGCUAGCCUCAAGUGAUGAUUAUUGGAGGUAGAGCACUGUUUGGACGAGGGGCCCCUCUCGGGUUACCGAAUUCAGACAAACUCCGAAUGCCAAUUAAUUUAACUUGGGAGUCAGAACAUGGGUGAUAAGGUCCGUGUUCGAAAGGGAAACAGCCCAGACCACCAGCUAAGGUCCCAAAAUAUAUGUUAAGUGGAAAAGGAUGUGGCGUUGCCCAGACAACUAGGAUGUUGGCUUAGAAGCAGCCAUCAUUUAAAGAGUGCGUAAUAGCUCACUAGUCGAGUGACACUGCGCCGAAAAUGUACCGGGGCUAAACAUAUUACCGAAGCUGUGGAUUGUCCUUUGGACAAUGGUAGGAGAGCGUUCUAAGGGCGUUGAAGCAUGAUCGUAAGGACAUGUGGAGCGCUUAGAAGUGAGAAUGCCGGUGUGAGUAGCGAAAGACGGGUGAGAAUCCCGUCCACCGAUUGACUAAGGUUUCCAGAGGAAGGCUCGUCCGCUCUGGGUUAGUCGGGUCCUAAGCUGAGGCCGACAGGCGUAGGCGAUGGAUAACAGGUUGAUAUUCCUGUACCACCUAUAAUCGUUUUAAUCGAUGGGGGGACGCAGUAGGAUAGGCGAAGCGUGCGAUUGGAUUGCACGUCUAAGCAGUAAGGCUGAGUAUUAGGCAAAUCCGGUACUCGUUAAGGCUGAGCUGUGAUGGGGAGAAGACAUUGAGUCUUCGAGUCGUUGAUUUCACACUGCCGAGAAAAGCCUCUAGAUAGAAAAUAGGUGCCCGUACCGCAAACCGACACAGGUAGUCAAGAUGAGAAUUCUAAGGUGAGCGAGCGAACUCUCGUUAAGGAACUCGGCAAAAUGACCCCGUAACUUCGGGAGAAGGGGUGCUCUUUAGGGUUAACGCCCAGAAGAGCCGCAGUGAAUAGGCCCAAGCGACUGUUUAUCAAAAACACAGGUCUCUGCUAAACCGUAAGGUGAUGUAUAGGGGCUGACGCCUGCCCGGUGCUGGAAGGUUAAGAGGAGUGGUUAGCUUCUGCGAAGCUACGAAUCGAAGCCCCAGUAAACGGCGGCCGUAACUAUAACGGUCCUAAGGUAGCGAAAUUCCUUGUCGGGUAAGUUCCGACCCGCACGAAAGGCGUAACGAUUUGGGCACUGUCUCAACGAGAGACUCGGUGAAAUCAUAGUACCUGUGAAGAUGCAGGUUACCCGCGACAGGACGGAAAGACCCCGUGGAGCUUUACUGUAGCCUGAUAUUGAAAUUCGGCACAGCUUGUACAGGAUAGGUAGGAGCCUUUGAAACGUGAGCGCUAGCUUACGUGGAGGCGCUGGUGGGAUACUACCCUAGCUGUGUUGGCUUUCUAACCCGCACCACUUAUCGUGGUGGGAGACAGUGUCAGGCGGGCAGUUUGACUGGGGCGGUCGCCUCCUAAAAGGUAACGGAGGCGCUCAAAGGUUCCCUCAGAAUGGUUGGAAAUCAUUCAUAGAGUGUAAAGGCAUAAGGGAGCUUGACUGCGAGACCUACAAGUCGAGCAGGGUCGAAAGACGGACUUAGUGAUCCGGUGGUUCCGCAUGGAAGGGCCAUCGCUCAACGGAUAAAAGCUACCCCGGGGAUAACAGGCUUAUCUCCCCCAAGAGUUCACAUCGACGGGGAGGUUUGGCACCUCGAUGUCGGCUCAUCGCAUCCUGGGGCUGUAGUCGGUCCCAAGGGUUGGGCUGUUCGCCCAUUAAAGCGGUACGCGAGCUGGGUUCAGAACGUCGUGAGACAGUUCGGUCCCUAUCCGUCGUGGGCGUAGGAAAUUUGAGAGGAGCUGUCCUUAGUACGAGAGGACCGGGAUGGACAUACCUCUGGUGUACCAGUUGUCGUGCCAACGGCAUAGCUGGGUAGCUAUGUGUGGACGGGAUAAGUGCUGAAAGCAUCUAAGCAUGAAGCCCCCCUCAAGAUGAGAUUUCCCAACUUCGGUUAUAAGAUCCCUCAAAGAUGAUGAGGUUAAUAGGUUCGAGGUGGAAGCAUGGUGACAUGUGGAGCUGACGAAUACUAAUCGAUCGAAGACUUAAUCAAA